AUCCAGCUGACGAGUUUCAAAUUGGACUAAACGCACGUCCUGGAU
rfam:Schistosoma rodhaini strain Burundi genome assembly, scaffold: SROB_scaffold0002192